rnacentral:rRNA from 1 species
UCCGUAGGUGAACCUGCGGAAGGAUCAUUAUCGAGUGAAGGGUCUCCCAGUGAGCCCGACCUCUCCACCCGUGUCUACCAAACUGUGUUGCUUCGGCGGGCCCGCCGUUCAGGCCGCCGGGGGGCAGGGGUCGUAUGACCCCUGCCUCCGGGCCCGCGUCCGCCGGAGGCGAGAAAACUACUGCUGUGAGACUGCUGUCUGAGUGGGAUGAAAUAGUUAAAACUUUCAACAAUGGAUCUCUUGGUUCCGGCAUCGAUGAAGAACGCAGCGAAAUGCGAUAAGUAAUGUGAAUUGCAGAAUUCCGUGAAUCAUCGAAUCUUUGAACGCAUAUUGCGCCCUCCGGCAUUCCGGAGGGCAUGCCUGUCCGAGCGUCAUUGCCAUCCCUCAAGCCCGGCUUGGGUGUUGGGCCGUCGUCCCCGUUUCCCGGGGGCGGGUCCGAAAGGCAGUGGCGGUGCCGGUUCGGUCCUGGAGCGUAUGGGGCUUUGUCACUCCGCUCUGCAGGAUCUGGAUCGGCGCUUGCCCCCCAGUCUUCCUCUCAGGUUGACCUCGGAUCAGGUAGGGAUACCCGCUGAACUUAAGCAUAUCAAUAA